CAGGACGAACGCUGGCGGCGUGCUUAACACAUGCAAGUCGAACGAGGAUAUGUCAGAGGAGAGCUUCGGCAGGAAUCAGGCAUAUUCGAGUGGCGGACGGGUGAGUAACGCGUGAGCAACCUGUCCCAGACAGGGGGAUAACACUUGGAAACAGGUGCUAAUACCGCAUAAGACCACGGUAUCACAUGGUAGUGGGGUAAAAAGGAGCAAUCCGGUUUGGGGUGGGCUCGCGUCCGAUUAGAUAGUUGGUGAGGUAACGGCCCACCAAGUCGACGAUCGGUAGCCGACCUGAGAGGGUGAUCGGCCACAUUGGAACUGAGAGACGGUCCAAACUCCUACGGGAGACAGCAGUUAGGAAUAUUCGUCAAUGGGGGCAACCCUGAACGAGCAAUGCCGCGUGAGUGAAUGAAGGUCCUUUGGAUUGUAAAACUCUGUUGUUUAGGAAAAAUUAUAUAAAUAGGAAAUGAUUUAUAUUUGAUGGUACUAUUCAAGAAAGCCACGGCUAACUACGUGCCAGCAGCCGC
rnacentral:rRNA from 1 species